UACGGAGGGUGCGAGUGUUAUUCGGAUUUACUGGGCGUAGAGAGCACGUAGGCGGAUAGGCAAGUCAGAUGUGAAAGCCCGGAGCUUAACUUCGGAACUGCAUUUGAUACUGCCAGUCUUGAGUGUGGUAGAGGGGGGUGGAAUUCCCGGUGUAGAGGUGAAAUUCGUAGAUAUCGGGAGGAACACCAGAGGCGAAGGCGACCCCCUGGGCCAUAACUGACGCUGAGGUGCGAAAGCGUGGGGAG
rnacentral:rRNA from 1 species